GCGGGAGCGAGCGGGGGAAAGGCGGAAUGCGCAGAGUGAGGGGGGUCCCUGGUGACCGUGACAUGGAAAGAAGAGUUCUGCCUUAGCCGUGCAAUGGAUUGAGCAAAUAAAAAGGCACGGAAAGAUCCCUGCUUUGAUGGCAGCCCCACCGUCACCACUGACCUUUGGAGCAGCUGAUUACAAAUCCAGAACGGGGACCUGGCUGUGAUAACGAUUUGUGGAGAUAAAGCCAAGAGGUAUUGCUGAAAUCGAGCUGUUCCUGCUGCCUGGGGGUGACAGCAGCAGCACCACCUCUCCUGCUGCACUGGAAAUCCCAGCUGUGGCCAGGGACAGGGCCAUGAGGAGCCAGGAUCCGGUCUGGGAGCACAUCCUGCCCCUGGAGCGCUCCCACCACGUCCCUGCCGUCCCUGGGAGUUCGGGGUUUGCUGGCUGUGACUCGAGGUGGCUCCAGCCUCCCCUGGCCCCACAGCCCCGCAGGGACGACCCCGGAGCUCUGGGGUCAGCCUUUAUCCCAAACCCGGCCUUCGCUCAGGGUCGGUUCCUUCUCCCCAGCUCUGUCUCAAAAGGUAAAAUAAAACCAUAAAUAUAAACGAGCACUGACAAAAGCUCUCGGAGGCCACUCCCCCCCCCAAAGGUUCCAUCCCGCGCUUCCCAAGGCGGGAGAUCGCCAUGAAUAUGGAUGCUCCCCCAAAUCCCUGUCUCACAGGGAAACCCCCUCCCUCCCCGCAGCCCGAGCCAGAUAAUUGAUCCAGUCCCUAGUGUUGACACACGAAAUGUUGUGUAACAACAGAGGGGAGAGAAUCUGUUUAUCUCGAACCACAUUUGGAGUGACAUAAGACUAUCACUUUUUUGGUUAAAUACCAGAAAGAAUAUCAAUUCUUUGGCUGAUAUCAAUCCCACCAGAUCCAUCCCGACUGACAACUUGUGUUUCCCUGGUUUGGGGAAGGAGGGGGGGUUGCUUCUCCACUCAAAAAUGAUGUUUCUUUCCAAGUUUUUGGGGGGGAGGAGGAACCAAACCCCCCCAGACAUGGUGUGGGCUUGUCUAGAAACUGGGAGUGCUGGGUUUGGGUAGGGGGGCUCCAGGGGUGGCUCCUGUGAGGAGAUCCUGGAGGCUGCGACCCCAUGGGAAGCCCCUGAAGGAGGUGUGACCCCAUGGGAAGCCCAUGCUGGAGCAGGGUCCUGGCAGGACUCGUGACCUCCUGGGGGCCCCAAACUGGAGCCAUUCCUGAAGAACUGCAGCCCAAGGGAAGGACUCAAACGGGAGAAGUUCCUGGAGGAUUUGUCUCCCGUGGGAGGGACCCCAGGAGCAGGGGCAGAGCGUGAGGAGUCCGACCUCUGCGGGGGAAGGGGCAGCAGAGGCGAUGUGUGCUGGGCCGACCACAGCCCCAUCCCCUGGGAGAAAAUGUGGAAGUGAAGCUGAGC